ACUUUCGUCUGCCGAGAGAGCCUCAAUAAACUUUUGGAGCUGCUUCAUCAGCAACGGAGACAUGGCUGGGGUACAACACUCCAGACAUUGGUGUUUUUGUAUUGGUUGGACUGUGGUGCAUCUUACAGGGUUGUGUCGCAGGCUUUUGGGAUGCCACGGCCAACCAUUCAUAGAAUUAUACAUUGAGUGGCUGAUGAAGUCAUGGCAAUUUUGCCAAAGGUUGUGGCCCUACCAAAGUCAGAAGAGCACCUGCUCCAGGUAGGUGCAGGCUUACCUUCUCCCACCAAUCACCAGGCAUUUGGUAAAGCUGUUGGAGCAAUUGAUGGAUGCCAUGUGAGAAUAAAACCACCAGCUGACCCUGAUGGACAGUGUUAUAAAAACAGAAAGCUGUUUGCCUCUAUCCUGCUUCAAGGGAUAUGCGACCAUCAAGGGGCAUUUUUAGACUGGGUACCCCUGGGAGUGUCCACGACUCACGGGUGAUUAAGAACAGCCCCAUUUUUAAACAGGCAAAGUAUCCACCUCAGGGCUUUUUCCUCCUCUGCGAUGGUGGGUACCCCUGCACAGAGAAGCCAAUCUGUGCAAUUUAAGAAUCCAGCCUCACCAGCUACUCAGCGCUUCAAUGCACGUCUUUCCAAAGGCCUCUCAAUUAUUGAGCGUGCUUUGAUGAAGACGCGAUUCAGAACCAUCUUCCUUCAGGCACUUGAAGUGCAUCCAACAUUUGCACCAAAGGUAAUAGUGUCAUGCACCAUGCUGCACAACAUCUGCCUUGGUGUUGGUGACAUUAUACCACCAGACGACAGCCAAGAAGAAGAGGAAGAUUAUGUGGAGCCACCAGAUCCAGUCUGUAUCCAGGUCAGAUGGUCACUGCAGUCACCCGGAUCCAGAUGGUGGAUCAGCACCUAGAGCGGACCUCUACAGCCCUGAAUGUCAACGGAGACCAGGAUACCUAGAUGAGCCCCAG
ensembl:lncRNA